GACGAACGCUGGCGGCGUGCUUAACACAUGCAAGUCGAGCGGUAAGGCUCCUUCGGGAGUACACGAGCGGCGAACGGGUGAGUAACACGUGAGUAAUCUGCCCUUCACUUUGGGAUAACCACCGGAAACGGUGGCUAAUACCGAAUACGACCAGUCUUCGCAUGAGGUGCUGGUGGAAAGUCUUUUCGGUGAAGGAUGUGCUCGCGGCCUAUCAGCUUGUUGGUGGGGUAAUGGCCUACCAAGGCUUCGACGGGUAGCCGGCCUGAGAGGGUGACCGGCCACACUGGGACUGAGACACGGCCCAGACUCCUACGGGAGGCAGCAGUGGGGAAUAUUGGACAAUGGGCGAAAGCCUGAUCCAGCAACGCCGCGUGAGGGAUGACGGCCUUCGAGUUGUAAACCUCUUUCAGUACCGACGAAGCGCCCUGUCGGGUGGUGACGGUAGGUACAGAAGAAGGACCGGCCAACUACGUG
rnacentral:rRNA from 1 species